rnacentral:lncRNA from 1 species
CACAAAUACAAAACAGAAGGAAAAGAAAAUAAACAAAAUCCUAUGGCAGCUUCCGCUAUGGCUGUGUUAGCUCCUGCUGGACCAAACCUCCCAGAGACCAGCUAAAAACCCUGGACAAAACACAAAAAUAUAACCUGAAGGCACCGGGGUGAAUGAACAUAGGCAGAUGCCACAGUGGAGUUGAUACUCGGAAGAAGACACAAUAUAGGGACACAGCAAGACAAAUCACAGCACAGCAAAUCAUGAGGAGACACCAGGCAAAUCCAAAUUGGGAGAAAUUCCUAAAACACCUGGCCUGUAUUCUUCAAACCU